AACUGAAAGAUUUUUAUCUGACUUAACUUUUAUUGGUAACUUAAUGUGAAAGUUUCCACCAUUGUUUUUAAACCUCUUAUAUUCUUGAUAAGUCUC